CCCCGUUGAGUCUUAAAGGGAACGCGCAUUCUUUGGGAGAUGGUGGUGGCGGGAAAGAAAUAAGAUAGAAAUUCAUUGUUGCUGAGUUUAACAACUCCUGAAGAAGGGGAUUUUCUCCCUGAAACAGGGUCAAAAAUACCCAGGGACCCCUGUAGACUUGGGACUUUAUUUGGACUUUACUUUUGAAGACUUUUUUGAGAGCGGUGCUCCAUCAUUAUUUUCUUCAUUCCAGUAUACAGCAACACGACCAACCAUCUGUUUGGAAGAUAUUUUCAUUGACUAUGUAUCCCUGAAGCCUAUAUACAUUGGAACCAAUACCAGACUUGAAUAACUUUUGUGUUAGAGCUGUUGCUCCUUUUCAUUUUGUCGGGUACGGCCAAAUUGAGCUUUGUACGGGGAACUGUAACAAUAUAUGUCAUUUAUUUAUUUAUUUGUGACAUUUAUAUCCCAACUUCUCACCCCGAAGGGGACUCAGGGCGGUUUACAAGUAUAUAUACAUACAAUAUAUUAUAUUAUACAACUAUAUCGCAAUAUUAUUAGUAAUAUUGCAUGUAAUAUAAAUAUACAAUUAUAAUAGUGAAUUAUAAUUAUUAUUACAUUGUAUUACAUCAUAAUAUUAUUAUUAAUAUUACAUGUACAGUAGAGUCUCACUUAUCCAACAUAAACGGGCGGGCAGAACGUUGGAUAAGCGAAUAUGUUGGAUAAUAAGGAGGCACUAAGGAAAAGCCUAUUAAACAUCAAAUUAGUUUAGGAUUUUACAAAUGAAGCACCAAAACAUCAUGUUAGACAACAAAUUUGACAGAAAAAGUAGUUCAAUACGCAGUAAUGCUAUGUAGUAAUUACUUUAUUUACGAAUUUAGCACCAAAAUAUCACAAUAUAUUGAAAAUAUUGACUACAAAAAUGCGUUGGAUAAUCCAGAACGUUGGAUAAGCGAGUGUUGGAUAAGUGAGACUCUACUGUAUAUACAAUGUAUUAUAAUAUUAGUAUAGUUUGGACACAUUUUCUUUGUACAUAGACUAUCGUAUGUUUGUAUAGAUACUUUACAAGUAUUCUGGGACUUUGUAUAGGCUUACAAUAAAUAGGCAAAAAUUCAAUGUCUGCAACCAAUACACUAAACAACAGUUCAUAUAAAAACAACGUAACAUUACAGAAUAAAAACACAUUGUACAAAAUUUAAAACAUAUCCAAGUUAAAAUCCAUUCAUCCAAAAUCCUAAUAGUGUUUUCUGUGUACUCUCGGGUGGAGCUUUUAGCUGAUCAGAAGCUAUUUAGUCAAUUGACCAAUUUGGUCAACAGACUCAUAAAAAUGGUCAAAUAAUGAUUAAGCAUUUUGAAAGAACUGACUUCAUUAAAAACAAAGGAGAUACUUCACUUAGGACUGACUACUUGAUAAAACAAAAUGGUUAACCGUUACUGUAAAAUAUAGAAAACGGUUUAAAGCAGCACUGAAUAAAUUAAUUUUUUACAAAAAUAAGUACUGUACUUCACCGAGUAUUUUUCUUUUUGCUUUUAUUCUAAACAUGUUGAAACAUGACCUACCUUACAGGGCUGGUGUGCAAACAACCAUUUUAAACAUAAUAACCAUUAUAAAUAAAAAUAAAUAAAUUAAUUCUUAGACGGUAGCACCAGGGGAGGAGCUAAUUUACAUAGGGGCGACUUGAUUGGUCAUAUGUAAAUGAGCGGGUGUCAGAAUUUGAACAGGGAGAUAACCAAGAAUGGCAGUUGGAAAAAAACUCAACUAUUCCAAAAAUCAGUUAGGACUGGGAAAGUUAACUGCUAGGUCAUGAAAGUUAGUUGUCAGUGAAUAUAAGUCAGGAGUGUGUUAACAAAAAGUAGUAUAAGUUGAGAAUAGUUGAGAAUCUGCUCCUGCAUAGUAAACAAGUGAAUCUUUCUGUGUAUAAAAAUUUGUAUGAAGAAAAGCUCUAACGAAACCUUGUUAUUCAACCAAGAAAGCAAUAUACAAAUGUAACCAACACGCUUUCGUUGCAAGAUCUCGUUAAAUAAACUCAGUUACUGUUUCGUGCUGUAACGAAACCUUGUUAUUCAAACAAGGAAGCAAUAUACAAAUGUAAACAACACACUUUCAUUGCAAGAUCUUGUUAAAUAAACUCAGUUACUGUUU